CUAACACAUGCAAGUCGAGCGGCAGCGGAAAGUACCUUGCUACUUUGCCGGCGAGCGGCGGACGGGUGAGUAAUGUCUGGGAAACUGCCUGAUGGAGGGGGAUAACUACUGGAAACGGUAGCUAAUACCGCAUAACGUCGCAAGACCAAAGAGGGGGACCUUCGGGCCUCUUGCCAUCAGAUGUGCCCAGAUGGGAUUAGCUAGUAGGUGGGGUAACGGCUCACCUAGGCGACGAUCCCUAGCUGGUCUGAGAGGAUGACCAGCCACACUGGAACUGAGACACGGUCCAGACUCCUACGGGAGGCAGCAGUGGGGAAUAUUGCACAGUGGGCGCAAGCCUGAUGCAGCCAUGCCGCGUGUAUGAAGAAGGCCUUCGGGUUGUAAAGUACUUUCAGCGGGGAGGAAGGCGAUAAGGUUAAUAACCUUGUCGAUUGACGUUACCCGCAGAAGAAGCACCGGCUAACUCCGUGCCAGCAGCCGCGGUAAUACGGAGGGUGCAAGCGUUAAUCGGAAUUACUGGGCGUAAAGCGCACGCAGGCGGUCUGUCAAGUCAGAUGUGAAAUCCCCGGGCUCAACCUGGGAACUGCAUUCGAAACUGGCAGGCUAGAGUCUUGUAGAGGGGGGUAGAAUUCCAGGUGUAGCGGUGAAAUGCGUAGAGAUCUGGAGGAAUACCGGUGGCGAAGGCGGCCCCCUGGACAAAGACUGACGCUCAGGUGCGAAAGCGUGGGGAGCAAACGGGAUUAGAUACCCUGGUAGUCCACGCCGUAAACGAUGUCGACUUGGAGGUUGUGCCCUUGAGGCGUGGCUUCCGGAGCUAACGCGUUAAGUCCACCGCCUGGGGAGUACGGCCGCAAGGUUAAAACUCAAAUGAAUUGACGGGGGCCCGCACAAGCGGGGGAACAUGGGGUUUAUUUCGAUGCACCGCGAAAAACCUUUCCUACUCUUGACCUCCAGAAAACUUUCCA
rnacentral:rRNA from 1 species